rnacentral:rRNA from 1 species
AGAGUUUGAUCCUGGCUCAGAUUGAACGCUGGCGGCAUGCCUUACACAUGCAAGUCGAACGGCAGCGGGGACUUCGGUCCGCCGGCGAGUGGCGAACGGGUGAGUAAUGUAUCGGAACGUACCUUUCAGUGGGGGAUAACGUAGCGAAAGUUACGCUAAUACCGCAUAUUCUCUGAGGAGGAAAGCAGGGGACCUUCGGGCCUUGCGCUGAUGGAGCGGCCGAUAUCAGAUUAGCUAGUUGGUGGGGUAAAGGCUCACCAAGGCUACGAUCUGUAGCGGGUCUGAGAGGAUGAUCCGCCACACUGGGACUGAGACACGGCCCAGACUCCUACGGGAGGCAGCAGUGGGGAAUUUUGGACAAUGGGCGAAAGCCUGAUCCAGCCAUGCCGCGUGAGUGAAGAAGGCCUUCGGGUUGUAAAGCUCUUUCGGACGGGAAGAAAUCAUGAGGGCUAAUAUCCCUUGUGGAUGACGGUACCGUAAUAAGAAGCACCGGCUAACUACGUGCCAGCAGCCGCGGUAAUACGUAGGGUGCGAGCGUUAAUCGGAAUUACUGGGCGUAAAGCGUGCGCAGGCGGUUUUGUAAGACAGGCGUGAAAUCCCCGGGCUCAACCUGGGAACUGCGCUUGUGACUGCAUCACUUGAGUACGGCAGAGGGGGGUGGAAUUCCACGUGUAGCAGUGAAAUGCGUAGAGAUGUGGAGGAACACCGAUGGCGAAGGCAGCCCCCUGGGUCGAUACUGACGCUCAUGCACGAAAGCGUGGGUAGCAAACAGGAUUAGAUACCCUGGUAGUCCACGCCCUAAACGAUGUCAACUAGGUGUUGGGUGGGUAAAACCAUUUAGUACCGUAGCUAACGCGU